rnacentral:rRNA from 1 species
GAUGAACGCUGGCGGCGUGCCUAAUACAUGCAAGUCGAGCGAGCAGACGAGGAGCUUGCUCCUCUGACGUUAGCGGCGGACGGGUGAGUAACACGUGGAUAACCUACCUAUAAGACUGGGAUAACUUCGGGAAACCGGAGCUAAUACCGGAUAAUAUAUUGAACCGCAUGGUUCAAUAGUGAAAGACGGUUUUGCUGUCACUUAUAGAUGGAUCCGCGCCGCAUUAGCUAGUUGGUAAGGUAACGGCUUACCAAGGCAACGAUGCGUAGCCGACCUGAGAGGGUGAUCGGCCACACUGGAACUGAGACACGGUCCAGACUCCUACGGGAGGCAGCAGUAGGGAAUCUUCCGCAAUGGGCGAAAGCCUGACGGAGCAACGCCGCGUGAGUGAUGAAGGUCUUCGGAUCGUAAAACUCUGUUAUUAGGGAAGAACAAAUGUGUAAGUAACUAUGCACGUCUUGACGGUACCUAAUCAGAAAGCCACGGCUAACUGCGUG